rnacentral:lncRNA from 1 species
AGACCAUGUCUGAAUAGAUACCUGAGAGUUAGACCCAUGUGCUGGGUCUGGGUGAGGCUGUGUGUAGAUCACAGCAGCGUGAGCACUGGCUGUACCUUUGCCCUGUCCUGCUGCUCUUCCUGUCUGCUGUGUCAGGACACUGAGCAGAAGUGGCGGUGGAAUGCACACAGCACAGCGUGUCACAGUGCGCAUGGGCUCCCCACUGGAAGGGAUGUAGCAUUGUUUUUCUUUCGUAAUGGAGAGAAGAGGGGAAGAAAAGGCCCAGGCACUGGUUCUCCAACUCUUGUACAUCCGGUCACUGUCCUGAGAUUCAGAAGGUCUGGGAUGUUCUGAGAAUUUGCAUUUCUGACAAGUUUGCAGAGAGUAAUGCUGAUGCUGCUGGUUCAGGGACCCACUCGGAGAGUCAGUGGCCUGGAGCACUGGAGGGCUCCGUGGAGCUGGGAGGGUGGAGGGAUGACGGCCUCGGGGUGGCACAAGGAGGUGCCGGGUGAAGAGGAGGUGCCAGAGGCAGGAUGGAGCAGCUCACAGUGGUACCUGGGAUGGCCCCGUGGCUUCUGCCAAGCCAAAUUCUCCUGUUUCAUAAGAAUUGCUCACUGCAUUUGUUUGUAGAAGUCAACAUUAAUUAAUCUUCUCAACUGAAAUGAAAAUACUUUAUGGGAAUACACUGAGAACCCCCCGCCCCCGCCUGCCAGCACAUCAGAUGGAUUGAAGCAUUUGAAGGCAGAAUAUAGUUCACAGAAAAAGCAAACCUAAUUAUAACCUAAAGAUCAUACAUCAGGACAGAAAGUGAUGAUGUGGCCAGUGCAGCGGUCCUGAUACCCCAGCGAGGACUUCGGGGCCAGGUGGGUCUUGCUCCCUUCCUCCUGGACCCAGAGGAUGGUCUGCAGGGGAGCAGAGGAACUGGGAUGGAAGUGAAGCCAGUGCCUGGCCAGAGGGAGAGGGGCCACAGGUGCAGAUCAUGAGAGUGUCUGGAGACUCCAGAAGUAGAGUUGAUUCUACCCCACACCCACCUGGCACCUUGUCUCAAAGACAACAACAACAAACAACAAAAAGGUCUUUGUCUCCCGAGGUUAGGAUGGCUAUGUCUGACUUGGGGUUUUUG